GCCUGGGUGGCUCAGUCGGUUGAGCGUCCGACUUCGGCUCAGGUCACGAUCUCGCGGUUCGUGGGUUCGAGCCCCGCGUCGGGCU
rfam:Felis catus isolate Cinnamon breed Abyssinian chromosome X, whole genome shotgun sequence.